rnacentral:rRNA from 1 species
AGUGAACGCUGGCGGUAGGCCUAACACAUGCCAGUCGAACGGCAGCACAGUAAGAGCUUGCUCUUACGGGUGGCGAGUGGCGGACGGGUGAGGAAUACAUCGGAAUCUACUUUUUCGUGGGGGAUAACGUAGGGAAACUUACGCUAAUACCGCAUACGACCUCCGGGUGAAAGCAGGGGAUCUUCGGACCUUGCGCGAUUGAAUGAGCCGAUGUCGGAUUAGCUAGUUGGCGGGGUAAAGGCCCACCAAGGCGACGAUCCGUAGCUGGUCUGAGAGGAUGAUCAGCCACACUGGAACUGAGACACGGUCCAGACUCCUACGGGAGGCAGCAGUGGGGAAUAUUGGACAAUGGGCGCAAGCCUGAUCCAGCCAUACCGCGUGGGUGAAGAAGGCCUUCGGGUUGUAAAGCCCUUUUGUUGGGAAAGAAAAGCAGCAGGUUAAUACCCCGCUGUUCUGACGGUACCCAAAGAAUAAGCACCGGCUAACUUCGUG